CGGAGGAAAAGAAACCAACAGGGAUUGCCCUAGUAACGGCGAGUGAAGCGGCAACAGCUCAAAUUUGAAAUCUGGCUCUCGGGCCCGAGUUGUAAUUUGUAGAGGAUGCUUUUGAUGCGGUGCCUUCCGAGUUCCCUGGAACGGGACGCCAUAGAGGGUGAGAGCCCCGUCUGGUUGGAUGCCAAAUCUCUGUAAAGCUCCUUCGACGAGUCGAGUAGUUUGGGAAUGCUGCUCUAAAUGGGAGGUAUAUGUCUUCUAAAGCUAAAUACCGGCCAGAGACCGAUAGCGCACAAGUAGAGUGAUCGAAAGAUGAAAAGCACUUUGAAAAGAGAGUUAAAAAGUACGUGAAAUUGUUGAAAGGGAAGCGUUUAUGACCAGACUUGGGCUUGGUUAAUCAUCUGGGGUUCUCCCCAGUGCACUUUUCCAGUCCAGGCCAGCAUCAGUUUUCCCCGGGGGAUAAAGGCUUCGGGAAUGUGGCUCUCUUCGGGGAGUGUUAUAGCCCGUUGCGUAAUACCCUGGGGGGGACUGAGGUUCGCGCUUCUGCAAGGAUGCUGGCGUAAUGGUCAUCAACGACCCGUCUUGAAACACGGACCAAGGAGUCGUCUUCGUAUGCGAGUGUUCGGGUGUCAAACCCCUACGCGUAAUGAAAGUGAACGCAGGUGAGAGCUUCGGCGCAUCAUCGACCGAUCCUGAUGUUCUCGGAUGGAUUUGAGUAAGAGCAUACGGGGCCGGACCCGAAAGAAGGUGAACUAUGCCUGUAUAGGGUGAAGCCAGAGGAAACUCUGGUGGAGGCUCGCAGCGGUUCUGACGUGCAAAUCGAUCGUCAAAUAUGGGCAUGGGGGCGAAAGACUAAUCGAACCUUCUAGUAGCUGGGUUU
rnacentral:rRNA from 1 species